UACGUAGGCAGCAAGCGUUGUUCGGAGUUACUGGGCGUAAAGGGUGUGUAGGCGGUUCUCUAAGUUUGGUGUGAAAUCUCCCGGCUCAACUGGGAGGGUGCGCCGAAAACUGGAGAGCUAGAGUACUGGAUGGGAGAGUGGAAUUUCCGGUGUAGCGGUGAAAUGCGUAGAUAUCGAGAGGAACACCUGCGGCGAAGGCGGGUUGCUGGGCUGACACUGACGCUGAGGCGCGAAAGCUAGGGGGAGCAAACAGG
rnacentral:rRNA from 1 species